CUAUCUGCAGUCGAGCGGACAGAUGGGAGCUUGCUCCCUGAUGUUAGCGGCGGACGGGUGAGUAACACGUGGGUAACCUGCCUGUAAGACUGGGAUAACUCCGGGAAACCGGGGCUAAUACCGGAUGGUUGUUUGAACCGCAUGGUUCAGACAUAAAAGGUGGCUUCGGCUACCACUUACAGAUGGACCCGCGGCGCAUUAGCUAGUUGGUGAGGUAACGGCUCACCAAGGCGACGAUGCGUAGCCGACCUGAGAGGGUGAUCGGCCACACUGGGACUGAGACACGGCCCAGACUCCUACGGGAGGCAGCAGUAGGGAAUCUUCCGCAAUGGACGAAAGUCUGACGGAGCAACGCCGCGUGAGUGAUGAAGGUUUUCGGAUCGUAAAGCUCUGUUGUUAGGGAAGAACAAGUGCCGUUCAAAUAGGGCGGCACCUUGACGGUACCUAACCAGAAAGCCACGGCUAACUACGUGCCAGCAGCCGCGGUAAUACGUAGGUGGCAAGCGUUGUCCGGAAUUAUUGGGCGUAAAGGGCUCGCAGGCGGUUUCUUAAGUCUGAUGUGAAAGCCCCCGACUCAACCGGGGAGGGUCAUUGGUAAACUGGGGAACUUGAGUGCAGAAGAGGAGAGUGGAAUUCCACGUGUAGCGGUGAAAUGCGUAAAGAUGUGGAGGAACACCAGUGGCGAAGGCGACUCUCUGGUCUGUAACUGACGCUGAGGAGCGAAAGCGUGGGGAGCGAACAGGAUUAGAUACCCUGGUAGUCCCCGCCGUAAACGAUGAGUGCUAAGUGUUAGGGGGUUCCCCCCCUUAGUGCUGCAGCUAACGCAUUAAGCACUCCGCCUGGGAGUACG
rnacentral:rRNA from 1 species